rnacentral:tRNA from 1 species
GGGAAGGUAGCUCAGUGGUAGAGCAUUUGCCUCGCAUGCAUGAGAGUGCUUGCUUCCCA